rnacentral:rRNA from 1 species
GGUGAACGCUGGCGGUAGGCCUAACACAUGCAAGUCGAACGGCAGCACAGUAAGAGCUUGCUCUUACGGGUGGCGAGUGGCGGACGGGUGAGGAAUACAUCGGAAUCUACUUUUUCGUGGGGGAUAACGCAGGGAAACUUACGCCAAUACCGCAUACGAACUACGGGUGAAAGCAUGGGAUCUUCGGACCUUGCGCGAUUGAAUGAGCCGAUGUCGGAUUAGCUAGUUGGCGGGGUAAAGGCCCACCAAGGCGACGAUCCGUAGCUGGUCUGAGAGGAUGAUCAGCCACACUGGAACUGAGACACGGUCCAGACUCCUACGGGAGGCAGCAGUGGGGAAUAUUGGACAAAGGGCGCAAGCCUGAUCCAGCCAUACCGCGUGGGUGAAGAAGGCCUUCGGGUUGUAAAGCCCUUUUGUUGGGAAAGAAAAGCAGCAGGUUAAUACCCCGCUGUUCUGACGGUACCCAAAGAAUAAGCACCGGCUAACUUCGUG